CUGCUUUCUCCACCCCACACAUAGAGAGAGUGGUUAUUUUCCUACUUCCAGAAGCGUCAACAAGGCAGUUAAUCACCAUAUCAAUGGUGAUAGCAUAACUUUGUUGGGUUUUGUUUCCAGGGUGGGCUGGAAUGCUUUAAAACAAGCACUCGUCUGUACUAUUAUUCCUUCCUUCCUCUUUGGAGCUGUGAAAGGUCAGCAGGGCCUGUCUCCAGGACUCUCCCUGUAAAGGUUGCUUUCUUUAUGCAGACAAAAGCCACGGGGAAAUUAUAGAUAAAUGGAGAAAUGAGAAUCCUGUUGGUGUCUAAGAUGAAGGUGAGCUUCUCUCCUAUUCACUAAAUGAUAGCUCUGUGCAUGUUACUUGCGAUGGACAAAGAGAGCACCAACAGCUGAGUUGAUGAGUUGACUUCUUAUUCUGGAAGUACGAGCUAAACCAAAUCAGGAUGUUUCUAUGUUACCUCCUCCAUAGAAGCAGCUAUAUGACCAAGCAAGCAAGCCAGAAGGUGACUUCCAGUAACAUAGAUCAAAGGGACGCAACGAGUUUCAGUAGGACAUCAAAUACUGUGCUUAUGGCAACUUGAGGUUUGGGCUUCAUUUAGAAACCCAAUACGCACUCGGUCCAUUUGUCUCUCUUGUAAUUUUUCCUUCAGUUUUAUUGACUUAUUAGAAAAUGCAUUGUUAAUCCAGAUCUAACAGUGUGUAAUGGCAAGUUAUUUCGACCUGUAUUGGUUUUACAUAAUGUACUCACAUGCAACUCCUGUCAGUUUUUGCAAAACAUACUUUUGUAAUCAAGUGAGGAACUGAAUGCACUUUCAAAUGAGACUUUGUUUUGUGUUCAUACAUGUCUGUGAGCAUAUGUAUGUAUUUUAUCAGUAUUUUAGACAUAUUGGGGAAAAUUGAAAAUUUCUGUUGUUAGUGUUUAACCUUAUGUAUAUUGAAUGAAUCAUUGUAGGAUCAUUUCACCCUACACAUUUGGAACUUAUUCACUGAACCGGAGAAGCAACUUGCCUUUAGAUCCAAAAAUCUUCAGUAAGAUAAGUCUGAUAUCAGUACUUUAGAAAGCCUAUAGCUUGGGGAUAGUGUACAUGAAAGAAUGUAAGAGAGCUGAUGGGGUACUUUUAAAAAAUGUCCUGACAGAGUCAAGGUGAUGGCCAUUUUUAGCUGCCCUGCUAUCCAUCACCUCUUUCAGCCAGGCAUACUCCAUCAUAUGCAACAGCCUCAUGAAUUUAUGCAUCAAGCUGUGCAGCCAGUCGUGCCGAGGGCUCUGGUGACAAGUGAAAUUGCUGUGCGCCUCAUUUAGCUGUUUAUUGCGCCUGAGUACGUGUUGCAGCUGUCAUCUUACGAUGGGAUGAUAGUGCUCGUUAAUAGACAAGACAGGCAAAUAAUGAUGGAGACUAUAGCAAGAGAUGCUCAUCUGCCAAUAGGCUCUCAGCAAUAUCACAAACAUUCACAAAGUUUUCAAUCAAAAACAACACUGCAAGAAAAUACUGAGGCCAGCAUCUGUUCUUUAUGUGACUAGCAGUGCAGAUUAAACUUCUGAGAAACUGUGGCCCAAUCUGCCUCUUAACUUUUUGAAUUUUUAUCUUUUAGAGUGAAAAAAGAGUCUUUCUUUUUAAAUGAAGUUUCAAAGGAAUGAUUUGCAAGUGACAAAAUAACCCAGAGUGCUCUUAGGGCUUUUCUGAUCCUUCAGGUAAAACUCUGCCUGCUGUAACUAGAAUCCUUCCCCCUUGUUUGUGUGGUGCAAACACAAAACAUGUGGAAUUCACAAGCAUUGCAUCGAGGUUUUUGUUUAAGUGUUGCUUAAUGUGUUUCAGUUGCCUGGUUCUGCAGUUUAACAUUAUUCUGCUUGAACACUUCCUCUGGAAAAAAAGAAGUCUCUUUUAGAGGUGUGUAGAAUCAUUUCAAUAGAAGAAAAAAAGAUACACCUGUAAAACCUGCAUUUCUUUCUGUGAAACUGGAGAUACGAUGAAUGCAAAUUCACAUGCAUAAAACCCUUUCAGUAAAGAUGAUACCUUAUUCUGCCUUUACCCUGUACAUUUAAAUUAGUGGUUUGCAGUAAUUCGCAGUGUUCUCUUCUGUGAUUUGCAAAAUUCUUUGCUCAAAUUAAUUAUUUUAUACUCCAUAGUAUUAAUUUUUAACUUAUUUAUAAAUAAAUCAAUUAUAUUUGCUAAAUAAAUCCUUUGUUUAGAGUGGGACAUCAACAUUUAAAGUGUUUUAUGUAAUUAGAGGAGGUAUUUGAAUGUAUUAGGUGGAGAAACUUUGUGUAAAUCCUUAUGGAACAUUCUGUGAAAGCUACUUCUAAACAGCUGUAUGUUUUGUUUGGUAGGCAGCUUACUAAGUCAAAGUCAAGACUUACUUAAAAUAUAAGCAAAGUAACAUAAAACUCUCUCAGCUAUGCACACAAAUAUGUGAAGAACAGAAGUCAUGACUGCAAUAUAAUUUGUCUUGUAUGUACAGUGACCCUACAAGUGAGUUGCGCUGAAAUAAAAUACAGAAGAAAAAUCAAAAUGAAUACAUAGUAUCUAUUCCAAUAGUAAGAAUUUUCAUCAAGUAACUGGCACAUUUUCCCAGAUUAUCACUACAUAAUAAAAACGAAGAAAGAAAACAAACAAAAUAAUGAGAGAGAAAAAAAUGGACAACCUAAAACUUGGAAAGUAACCCUAUUUUUGUAAAGUAAUUUAUGUGUCUAUUUAGUUGUUAUCACUGUAAUAUUGACUAGGCAAAAAUGCAUCUAUGAUAGGUUUAUGAUGCUUUGAAACUACAUAGGUCUUAGAGUGGUAUCAACUGCUUUGCUAGUGGUAAAAAUUAUCCUUAUUUUACAGUCGAAGGCACUGAGGAUAGAGAAAUUUCCUGCUCAAAAUCAAUAUUUAAUAAAAUAUAAUAUUUAAUAAAAUAAAGUAUAAAAUCAAUAUUUAAUAAAAUAUGCAUGAUAUAUGACUUACUCUUGCAAAGGUCUAAAUAGCAUGAGUGAUCUGUUGUGCAAGAUACUAUAGAGCCAGCAAAGGUAGGCUUCUUCUAAGUGAGCACUGGCCAUCUGACCUCCUCCAUAUGGGUGUUUCAUCUACAUGAAUCUUCUGGAGUCUGCCUGAAGAGACCAAGUAAAAGAGACCAAAGUAAAGGCCCAGCAGAUCCUGCUCUGAUGAAAGUACAAAUGAAGAUAUCCUCUUGGCCACAUCUACUGCUCUCUGCUGGUUCUUGACAAGAACUUUAAACUUAGAAACACCUGAUUUUUGCAGGUAACUGAUACAAAAUCAGAUAACCUCACUUUUACAGUCCAACCAAUAUAUCUCUAUGUUACUAAUUAAAAUCUGAAGUAUAGAGAAAUGGUCUGUGAGGGAUCACAUUAAAAGUUUGUUUUAGGUCUUUGUUUUAGUGUUUUCAUUUCUGUGAAUAAACUCUGUAGCUUGUGUCAGAGACUGAUCCUUCACUGUGAGACGAAUAAGCCAUUUUCUUUCUCUGUGAGGGAACAUUAGAAUAAAUAUAAAAAAUCUGUAACGCUAACUGUACACAAACCAACAAUUUUUCUUGUAUGAAAUAGAGUUAUGCAAGAAAUUCUGGGAAGCAAACAUGGAUUUUAUGCCUGUCUGUCUAUGGGCAGAGUUAAGGUUGAGCAACUUUACUACUGGAAAACUCUUGCUAUUUGAAUGCUUUGUUCUGCCGUCUUCAUUCUUGCAGAUAGAUUGUCUGUGACUGUAAUUUUGUUUAUAUGCAUAUAUAUAUACAUGUAAGCAAAUAUAAACAUGUGUGUACUUCCA